GGGCCCGCACAAGCGGUGGAGCAUGUGGUUUAAUUCGAUGCAACGCGAAGAACCUUACCUACCCUUGACAUCGAGAGAACUUUCCAGAGAUGGAUUGGUGCCUUCGGGAACUCUCAGACAGGUGCUGCAUGGCUGUCGUCAGCUCGUGUUGUGAAAUGUUGGGUUAAGUCCCGUAACGAGCGCAACCCUUGUCCCUAUUUGCCAGCGAUUCGGUCGGGAACUCUAGGGAGACUGCCGGUGACAAACCGGAGGAAGGUGGGGACGACGUCAAGUCAUCAUGGCCCUUACGGGUAGGGCUACACACGUGCUACAAUGGCCGGUACAAUGGGUUGCGAAUCCGCGAGGUGGAGCUAAUCCCAUAAAGCCGGUCUCAGUCCGGAUCGGAGUCUGCAACUCGACUCCGUGAAGUCGGAAUCGCUAGUAAUCG
rnacentral:rRNA from 1 species